GUUGUGGGGUUAAGCGACUAAGCGUACACGGUGGAUGCCCUGGCAGUCAGAGGCGAUGAAGGACGUGCUAAUCUGCGAUAAGCGUCGGUAAGGUGAUAUGAACCGUUAUAACCGGCGAUUUCCGAAUGGGGAAACCCAGUGUGUUUCGACACACUAUCAUUAACUGAAUCCAUAGGUUAAUGAGGCGAACCGGGGGAACUGAAACAUCUAAGUACCCCGAGGAAAAGAAAUCA
rnacentral:rRNA from 1 species